rnacentral:rRNA from 1 species
UAUUAGGUGAUUCAUAAUAACUUAUCGAAGCGCAGGUCUCGUAUCGGCGCUGAUACAUACGAGUCUCUGCCCUAUCAACUUUCGAUUGUAAGGUAUUGGCUUACAAUGGUUGUAACGGGUGACAGGGAAUUAGGGUUUGAUUCUGGAGAGGCAGCCUGAGAAACGGCUACCACUUCCAAGGAAGGCAGCAGGCGCGCAAAUUACCCAAUCCUGACACAGGGAGGUAGUGACAAAAUACCAUUAGAGGCGUUUAAUACGUUCUCUAUUUGGAAUGAGUACAAUUUAAAACUCUUAACGAGGAACAAUUGGAGGGCAAGUCUGGUGCCAGCAGCCGCGGUAAUUCCAGCUCCAAUAGCGUAUAUUAAAAUUGUUGCAGUUAAAAAGCUCGUAGUUGAAUUUCGGAGCGCCUUUUGUGGGAUUCUGGUUCGGCGUAAUGCCGCGACCGGCCCCGGGUCUCCUUUUUUUCGAAUGCACGCCCGUAUUCACUAAUCUGGGUGCGGUGUCGGGCUUCGGAUCGUUUACUUUGAAAAAAUUAGAGUGUUUAAAGCAGGCGUAAUUGCCUCUGAAUAAUGCAGCAUGGGAUAAUAGAAUAGGACUUUGGGCCUAUUUUGUUGGUUUCUGGGUCUGAAGUAAUGAUUAAUAGGGACAGUUGGGGGCCUUAGUAUCGAGUUGUCAGAGGUGAAAUUCUAAGAGUUACUCGAGACUAACUACUGCGAAAGCAUUGGCCAAGGAUGUUUUCAUUAAUCAAGAACGAAAGUUGGGGGAUCGAAGAUGAUCAGAUACCGUCGUAGUCCUAACCUUAAACUAUGCCGACCAGGGAUCCGAGGACGCUAAAUGGAUGGCUCUUCGGGCACCUUGUGAGAAAUCACAAGUAAGGUUCUGGGGGGAGUAUGGUCGCAAGGCUGAAACUUAAAAGAAUUGACGGAGCGACACCACCAGGAGUGGAACCUGCGGCUUAAUUUGACCCAACACGGGAAAACUCACCAGGUCCGGACACAGGAAGGAAACACAGCUUUGCAGAACUUUGUUGAUUCUGUGAGGGGUGGUGCAUGGCCGUUUCUAAUUCGUGGAGUGAUUUGUCAGGUUAAUUCCGGUAACGAAUGAGACCUUGACCUAUUAAAUAGCCGUGCUUAUGCUCUAUCGAGCUUAGGCACCCGGCUUCUUAGAGGGACUAUUCGAUUAUAAGCGGAUGGAAGUUCGAGGCCAAAACAGGUCUGUGAUGCCCUUCGAUGUCCUGGGCUGCACGCGCGUUACACUGUUGCAUUCAACGAGUUUGUCUUGCUUGCCUGAGAAGGAUGG